AGAAAAACAUUAUACGCAAACAUGAGAUCGGACGGAGCCAUGACCAAAUACCGAACGGAACUUUAGAAUAUUAGAAUUGCAAAGAUUUGACACUGGCUUGAAUUACAGUAGGCAAGAUUGGAUGGUCCGGAGACCCAAUGUUGACUCGAACUCAUCUGAUGAAGACCAAGAGAUCGGAAAGCAAUCUAACUUGAGCAUGAGAUCGAUUUGCUCCAGGGACGAGCGAUCAGCAAGUUCGGAAAAUAAAGUUUCAAUUUUAAAAGAUCCUUGCCUUCGAAGGUCGGCCAAAAUAUGUUGUCUACACUAAGGAUGUGUAUUACUGCAUCCCACUUACCAUGGCAUGAAUCUUGGAGAAUUGACUCACCACACUGGCAGCAAAGGAAAUAUAUGGUCAAGUGAAUGUUAGAUAAUUGACUCACCUCAGUGAAUCCUCCUGUUCAUGAACAAGUUUGACAUUUGGAUCAUGAAAGUAUCCACAAGUUUGCAAUCUAGCAUACCACUUUCGUUCAAUAUAUUUUGUGCAUAUUUCCUUUGCGAGACUGCAACUCUAGUACUAGAUUGUGCUACUUCAAUUCC
rnacentral:misc_RNA from 1 species